GGCGAACGCUGGCGGCAGGCCUAACACAUGCAAGUCGAACGAACUCUUCGGAGUUAGUGGCGGACGGGUGAGUAACACGUGGGAACGUGCCUUUAGGUUCGGAAUAACUCAGAGAAACUUGUGCUAAUACCGAAUGUGCCCUUCGGGGGAAAGAUUUAUCGCCUUUAGAGCGGCCCGCGUCUGAUUAGCUAGUUGGUGAGGUAAAGGCUCACCAAGGCGACGAUCAGUAGCUGGUCUGAGAGGAUGACCAGCCACAUUGGGACUGAGACACGGCCCAAACUCCUACGGGAGGCAGCAGUGGGGAAUCUUGCGCAAUGGGCGAAAGCCUGACGCAGCCAUGCCGCGUGAAUGAUGAAGGUCUUAGGAUUGUAAAAUUCUUUCACCGGGGACGAUAAUGACGGUACCCGGAGAAGAAGCCCCGGCUAACUUCGUGCCAGCCGCCGCGGUAAGAC
rnacentral:rRNA from 1 species